UCGAUAACAUCAGUAGUAUAGAUGCACAGUAAUACACAAUACCAGUAUUUUUUUUGAAAUUUGUAUUUGCAAUAAAUGUCUCUAUAUUUUUGUAAGAUUUUUACUGACACCUUGACGUUUUGACUGAAGUGGACCCCAAUUUGCGACCGGCGAAACAUUCUGGCCAGUUGGCCAUCCCCACCGCCUCGGCGCCGCUCCAGUUCUCUCCGCCCUCCCCGCCGCCCCGUGUUCAUAUAACCCCUUCACCCACCCCACGCCCUCGCAGCCUCGCUAGCAACCGCCCGCCUGCUCCCCCCCACGCCCUCGCUAGCAACCUCCCGCCUGCUUCCUGAAGCUUCUAGGACAGGUGAGCCAUGGAAGUGGAGCUGUCGUCCGGCUCGGUGGCGGCGAUCUGGGAGGGCGAGGUGGCGCGGGAGAUGCCGCUGGUGCUGCAGGUUCUGCUGCUGCCCAUGUGCUCGUGCGCAGAGCGUCCAGAACCAGGGUGGUACCAUGCGGCGCUCUCGGACGGCGCCCACCAAAUCUACGGUCAUCUGCGCCUCGACGAAACCGCCUCGGCAGCCGUCCGGGCUGCCCCGCUUGGUUACGGCGCCGUGGUCCGCCUCUUCGACUUCGAGACCAGAACAAAUAUCGAGGGUUUGAGGUCAAUUGACUCUGAACAUGUUGAAGUGCUGCAUACUUCCUUGAAAAUUGGGGAUCCCAAAACAUACCGGCCUGGAUACUUGGUAAAAAAGCAUGAGAAAUUGGAUGCUCAAGUAGUGACUAGUUCUUCCAAACAGAACUUUGGAGUCAAUCCUAUCGGUCAAGGCUUGAAACUACUUUUGAUAAGGGGGGUGGUGGCGAUGUUGCAGCAUCCUGUGAUGCAGGUGGUUGGUGUCUCACUGCUGAGAUCAGAUCCAAAAUCUCUUCUGAAGUACCAUUUGAUCCUCUCUGAUGGCGUGCAUACACAGAAUGCUACACUACAUCCCUGCCUCAACCAUCUAGUUGAGGAAACUCACCUCCGCAAGGGCACCAUUGUCCGCCUCCUUGAAUUUGUUUGCUGUAAUGUUCGGUAUUGCAGUAUUAUCACUGUUUUCCAACUUAAAGUGCUGCUGAUAGAGUGUGAGCUGAUUGGAAGCCCCAAAGCAUGUGAGCUCUGUUGCAUUGAAAAAGUCUAUGGACUUGAGAGUGAAUCUGUUGAACCAUAUUCUGGAUCAGUGUCCAAUUAUGCUCAACCAAAUAAUGGACCCUAUUUUAAUUGUCAAGGCUUGAAUCGGUACCUUACUCAGGGUGCAGUAGCAGCAAUAAUGGAGGGUGAGAUGGUGGUAAAGCGGCAGCCAGUGCUGCAGGUGGUUGAUUUCUCACUAGCAAGUCACAAUGGGUUCAGCUUUUACCGUAUAUUGCUCUCAGAUGGUGUCCACCAGGUGUAUGUCAACCUCUUUCCCCACCUAAGCCACCUGGUUGAGGGCAGUUGCCUCCGGAAAGGUACAAGAAUCCGCCUUCUCAGGUUCAUCCGUGACACAGUUGACCAGGACCAGAAUUGCAGGAUUGCCAUUGCUGCGGAACUUGAAGUACUCCAAACAGAAUGUGAGCUGAUUGGAAACCCAACCUUCUAUGAGCUUGGAAAUAAACAGAGCCACUCCAAUUCGGAGUCCUUACUGCCCAUUUCUGGAAGCUUCUGCAAGGAUCAGGGAGGCAUGGAGAUGCAGGCAAGCCUGACGUGGGGAGCAGUGGCGGCCAUCUGGGAGGAUGCGGCUGUGGUGGUGCAGCCAGUGUUGCAAGUGUUUGACCUGCUUGUAUGGACAGAGAUGGAUGAACCAUGGUUAUCCCCUAUCUUGCUCUCGGAUGGCACCCAUUUGAUCCGCGGCGGCCUUUCCCCCCUACAUAAUCAGCUCAUUUAUGUUCAGAGAUGGCCGCCUCCACAUGGGCACAGUGGUCCGACUCCUUGAGUUCACGUGCCAUAAUGACAGAAGUGAGAGGGUCAUUGUUGUGUUAAAACUUGAAGUGCUGCGGACGGAUUGCACGAUGGUUGGAAAUCCCAAACAGUAUCCAUCUGGCAAGUUGGAAAACAAGCGUGAGGAAUUGGACCCUGAAUCAGUGUCCAGUAAUGCCAAACUGAACUGUGAAGCCUAUUCUGCUGGGCAACGCCUGAAGGAAUUCCUGACAAGAAGGGGGAUGGUAACCGCAUUGCAGCAGCCUGUGAUGCAGGUGGUUGAUGUGUCACUGUUGAGAUCAGAGCUGAAGAAGUUUGGGAGGUACCACUUGGUACUCUCUGAUACUGUGUACACACAGGAUGCUACACUGGCACCUGGCUUGAAUCACCUGGUUGAAAACAUUCUCAUCAAGGGUUCCAUCAUCCGCCUCCUUGAGUUUAUUUGCGAUACCACCAAGAGUCCCAGUAUGAUCAUUGUUAUCCAACUUGAAGUACUGCAAACAGUAUGUGAACUGAUUGGAAGCCCUAAAGCAUAUGAGCUCUCCUUAUUUGAAAAACCCUAUGUGCCUGAGGGUAAAUAUGGGGAACCAUAUCCCAGAUCAGUGGCCAAUUACACUCGACCAAUGAAUGGACCCUGUCCUAGUGGCCAAGGCUUCAAGGGCCAUCUGACUUGGGGAGCAGUGGUGGCAAUUCUGGAGGGUCAGAUGAUAGCAGAACGGCAGCCUGUGAUGCAGGUGCUUGGUGUCUCAAAAGAUAAUCUAGGACGGUACCUUAUUUCGCUCUCUGAUGGUGUCUACUGGACACGCGGUUUUCUCAUAUCCAACCAAAGACACCUGGUUGAUAAUAAUUGCAUCUGCAAAGGAACUAUAGUUUGCCUCCACAAGUUCUUCUUUGACACCUUUCGGAAUUGCAGGACCAUCUAUUUUGCGCAAUUUGAAGUGCUCGAAAAGAAAUGGGAGCUGAUCGGUAGCCCUGCCUAUAAACCUGUAAACAAGCAGAAGGGAUCGGAUGCUGGCCAUGCUUCCUACAUUCCCUACAUUCCUGCAGACGCUGCGGGACAAUCCUCUGGCCAAUCUCAUCCUAGAUACAAAGGCACCCCAGGUUGAUCUGAUCCGGUGCUUCACAUGGAGAAUCUGUCUCUUGCUAUCCAUUCCCCGUAUAGUACAUUGAUGUUCUUGUAUCAUACUAGCUAGCUACACGGCUGGUAUUUUGGUUGCAAAUCUGACUCGAUCCCUGGUAUGGUAGUAACUUUUCUUUUUGAGGUCGGAGGUACAUAAACUUGAACACGGAGCAGAAGUAAUGUGAACAAUGUUGCCUAGGAAUAUGACUGCCAUGAGUUGGACAGUA